rnacentral:rRNA from 1 species
GAAACACGGACCAAGGAGUCUAGCAUGUGCGCGAGUCAUUGGGACUCGAUUAAACCUAAAGGCGCAAUGAAAGUAAAGCUCCGCCUCGCGCGGAUCGAGGGAGGACGGGCCGGUCCGACCGACCGACCCCGCACUCCCGGGGCGUCUCGUUCUCAUCGCGAGAAGAGGCGCACCCAGAGCGUACACGCUGGGACCCGAAAGAUGGUGAACUAUGCCUGGUCAGGACGAAGUCAGGGGAAACCCUGAUGGAGGUCCGUAGCGAUUCUGACGUGCAAAUCGAUCGUCGGAACUGGGUAUAGGGGCGAAAGACUAAUCGAACCUUCUAGUAGCUGG